AACGAACGCUGGCGGCAGGCUUAACACAUGCAAGUCGAACGCAUCCUUCGGGGUGAGUGGCAGACGGGUGAGUAACACGUGGGAACAUACCUUUUGGUUCGGAAUAACUCAUAGAAACGUGAGCUAAUACCGGAUACGCCCUUUUGGGGAAAGAUUUAUUGCCGAAAGAUUGGCCCGCGUCUGAUUAGCUAGUUGGUGAGGUAAUGGCUCACCAAGGCGACGAUCAGUAGCUGGUCUGAGAGGAUGAUCAGCCACACUGGGACUGAGACACGGCCCAGACUCCUACGGGAGGCAGCAGUGGGGAAUAUUGGACAAUGGGCGCAAGCCUGAUCCAGCCAUGCCGCGUGAGUGAUGACGGCCUUCGGGUUGUAAAGCUCUUUUGUCCGGGAAGAUAAUGACUGUACCGGAAGAAUAAGCCCCGGCAAACUUCGUGCCAGCCGCCGCAGUAA
rnacentral:rRNA from 1 species